CCCGGCCGCUUCUAGGGCCUGCGCGGAGCCGCCGGGCCAUGGCGCAGCCCCGGGGCGGCGGCGGGGCCGGGCAGGGCGAGGAGGAGGAGGAGGAGGAGGAAGAGUGGCGGUGCCCGCAGCCGGGCCGCGAGGCCGCUCCGCCCGCCCCGAGCCACAGCAAGUCGGUAUCAGCAAGAAACGCGGCGUGCAGAGUAAUUGUGCACGUGGACUUGGACUGCUUCUAUGCCCAAGUAGAAAUGGUCCGUAAUCCCGAGCUAAGAGACAAGCCUCUAGGUGUGCAGCAGAAAUCCAUAGUAGUAACCUCUAACUAUGAAGCCAGAAAACUUGGAGUUAAGAAACUGAUGUCUGUGAAAGAUGCUAAAGAAAAGUGUCCUCAGCUGAUACUGGUUAACGGAGAAGAUCUAACUCCAUACAGGGAAAUGUCAUACAAGGUUACAGGAUUGCUGGAAGAAUUUUGUCCUCUAGUGGAAAGGCUCGGGUUUGACGAAAAUUUUGUAGAUAUCACAGAGAUUGUCGAGAAAAGACUGAACCAGCUACAAAAAAGUGGAUGUUCCAGAGUGUGUGUGUCUGGCCACGUGUACAACAACCAAGCUAUCGAUUUACGUGAUACAACGCACGUAAGACUGGUUAUCGGAUCUCAGAUCGCAGAAGAGUUCAGGGAAGCCAUGCGCGCUCGACUCGGCCUCACAGGCUGUGCAGGAGUGGCCUGUAACAAGUUACUGUCUAAGCUGGUAUCUGGGACCUUUAAACCAAACCAACAAACAGUUCUGCUGCCUGAAAGCUGUCAAGAUCUGAUGCGCAACCUUGAUCACCUCCAAAAAGUGCCUGGCAUUGGCUACAAAACCGCCAAGCGUCUCGAAACGCUGGGUGUUAGAAGUGUGUGUGAUCUCCAAGCGUUUCCAUCUGCUGUGUUAGAGAAGGAACUAGGGGCUUCCGUUGCUCAGCGCAUCCAAAAACUCAGCUAUGGAGAAGAUGACUCCCCUGUGACUCCAUCAGGCCCUCCUCAGUCCUUUAGUGAUGAAGAUUCCUUUAAAAAAUGUUCCUCAGAAGUGGAAGUUAAAGAGAAAAUUGAAGAACUGCUUCGUAGCCUCUUAGACAGGGUAUCCAAAGAUGGAAGACAGCCACACACCGUGCGACUGACUAUCCGCCACUUCUCUGCGACCGAUAGAUGGUUUAAUCGGGAAAGCCGUCAGUGUGCCAUUCCACCUCAUCUCGUUCAGAAAUUCGGGAAAGAAAGCAGCAACAUUAUAUCUCCAUUGAUUGCUAUACUAAUGAAACUCUUCCGAAAGAUGGUAAAUGUAGAUCUACCGUUUCAUCUCACCCUUCUGAGCGUUUGCUUCUCUAAUCUCAAAGAUGUUCCUAGCAGCAAGAAAGGAUCAAUAGGUUUUUAUCUAAAGCAGAUGCCACCAACAUCAAGCUCUGGUAAAAGUGUCCAGGAGAUGGAAGAUGGCUCACAAGGUGAAGGAAGUACUUCUUGGAACCAGAACUGGAACAGAACUGGCACUAUAAAAACGAAGAGACUUUCAGAGGAAAAGAAAAGCAAUACAAAAAAAGCAAGAAUUCCUGACUUUCCCUGUCAUUUGUCUCCUGGUGGUAUUGACCAGGCAGUCUUCAGGGAACUUCCAGAGGAUAUUAAAAAAGAAAUUAUGUCUGAAAAAGCAGGAGAAGUGAUCUCUGCUGAGAAUGUUUUGGGUCAGCCACCCGUAUGUUUUGCAGAGGAGGUACAGAGCGCUUCCCCGAAUUCUAAGGGGCUGAACAGCGAUGAGCACUCUGCAGGGUACAGUGCACACCUCUCAUCAGCUCGUGAAUCAGAAUCAGCUUGGACACACAGCUCCAGCACCAGUUGCUCUGCUGAGUAUCCUAGAAGCGUGCUAACAGGCAGCAGUAUGGAAGAAAACCCUGCUGACUCUCACAGCUUCAGGGACUUGUCAGUUGUAGAAGCUGGUGCCAGCCAAACUGUUCCGCGCGUCCCUGCCUUGGAUAAAGAUGAGCAGGCCUUUGACAUAACUUCCGAGGGUAAAAACGACAGCAAGAAAGUAGGAAUUGUACUUCCUCCUAGUGUUGAUCCAAAGACUUUUUAUGAACUGCCUACGGAUGUGCAAGAAGAACUACUAGCUGAAUGGAAGAAUCGGGAACCUGUGUCCAAAACUUGUAUAGAGAAACCUCCAGAAAGGCCUAAAACAAAUAGAGGAAGAAAGAAUACAGCGUCAAGUUCCUCACAGUCCAACAGUUUGCUAAGCUGCCACCCUUUCCUGCCAUUUAAGCUUAUGUAGAAGUACUGGAAAAUCUACAGGAGUAAUGGGAAAUGCUACUUCCGCAUAAACCAGCUCAUUCCUGGACUUCAGGCAGCAUAUAGAAUCUCACGGUGGGUUUUGGAGCUCGGGAUUCAGAGGAUGACAGACAACUCUGACUUUUGUUCCUAAUACUCUGCGAAGUUCAAGGGAAAGUUCAGAGCGGGGAAGAGCGGCCUCUUACAAGGAAAUAGGAAACUCCUCUAAUGCUGGGAAACGCUCACUAGCACGGGUAAUUUCACGCACCUAGUUUCUGGGAAACCGUGAAUCACCCUGAUAAUCACUUACAGACAGCAAUCGAACACAAAGGUUAAGGAUGCUGCACAAAGACAAACGAGCUCAAAGGAUACUGCUCGCAAAGAGUUUAAGAAACGCGGUUAUCAGAUUUGCAGCCCCUGACAAUACAGGACUGGAAGCGAGAAAGAGCAAACGGACAUUUCAGCACCACUUACUGCCUUGGUGAAGUGAGUGCGCAGCGUGGGUGUGAGGGACCGCUGCAGAAACUUGCCUCUCCGCUAACUACAACAGGUCUGACGGUGAUGGAAAACAUUUUAAUGUCUACUUAAAAAACAGGGAACGUAAACCACGGCAGGGCCAGUUAAAAUCGUAUUAAUAUUUGAGUACACCCUUUAUUUCCACAGCUGCUAGGAAUUUAUGUUUACUGGUAUCCUAAGCAACUCUCGCCUGCAUCCUGUAAUGUCUUCUCUCCUAAGCUCUGUAGUCGUUAAUCAAACAACUACAAAGUUUGAUUAGGAGACAAAGGAGACAAAACAUCACGAGAGACCCCAUUCACCCUUGCACAGUCGCCUUAAUGCUACCCUGAACUCUGCUGAAAAUAUUCCACCCAUGUGAAAAGCAAGAAUCUGCAUUUUCGCUACCAGAUUCCACGCUGCCUUCUCUUUGCAAGUAAAGCAAACUGUUCCUACUCCUGCCACUUAGAAAAGAAACUGGCAUUUGUGAUACGUGGUUAAUAAAUAUUGAAUGUCAAACUGGAAAUGGGAACAGCUAUAUUUUUGCUUCUAGAAACAGCUGGUAUUCCUUCCUAAAAGACAUGCCAGGGAUCAAUACAGCUUGUUAACGUGACAAAGGUAUUUACGAAAAUAAACGGAAGAGAUCCUGGCUCCCUGCCCAAGUGGCAGAAAGCAUACCACGAUGCUUCUCCUGCCUGCCUACAUGCCUGAUUGGGACUGCAGGAUGCCUUCCUCAUCCAAAAGAUACAAGUCAGGCGCAUCCUUCUGAGUUCCAAGCUACCAUAUUCUCAGUCCUUCACAUCCACCUGCACUGGAAUAAGAUCUGAAACACAAGAAUAAUGCCACAUCCAAACUAUUCAAAUUCU